GGGCCUGAGGGCUGGGGCUUGGCUUUAGAGGUGUGGGGCAUCCCGCUAUUAGCUCGUGAAGUCCACCCCGGUGUCUUGUUGGGCGUUUGGUGCCAGGAGCCCUGCACGAUGCCAAAAUCUGAGGAUCCUCAAGUCCCUUAUAUGAAAUGGCGUAGCAUUUGAGUAUAACCUACGCACAUCCUCCUGUAAUACUUUGCUUACUUGUAAUUAGGUAUUAGUUGUUAUACCUAAUAAAAUGCAUUAAGUAAAUAGUUGUAAAUACACUGCGAAUAAUAUGUACAUAGUUGCUGGUGCACGCAAAUUCAAGCUUUGCUUUUCGGAGCUUUGGAAUUUUGUUUUUGAAUAUUUCUACCUGGGGUUGGUCGAAUUUGCGGUGCGGAACCGCAGAUACGGAGGGCUGACUACUGUACAUGGUGUUUUAUCCAACAGCAGUUGGCGGGAAGAUGCUUCGAUACUGAAGGAUGGGCAACAGGCACAUGAAAAGAUAUCAUCAGGGAAAUGCAAAUCAAAACCACAAUAAUAUAUCACCUCACACCUGUGAGAAUGGCUAUAUGAAAAAGAAAAAAGGGACUUCCCUGGUGGCGCAGUGGUUAAGAAUCCAUUUGCCAAUGCAGGGGACACAGGUUUGAGCCCUGGUCCGGGAAGAUCCCACAUGCCACAGAGCAACUAAGCCCAUGCGCCACAACUACUGAGCCUGCACUCUAGAGUCCACCAGCCACAACUACUGAGCCCACGUGCCUAGAGCCCUUGCUCUGCAACAAGAGAAGCCACCACAAUGAGAAGGCGGCACACCACAGCAAGGAGUAGCCCCCGCUCGCCGCAACUAGAGAGCUAGAGAAAGCCCGCACAGCGACAAAGACCCAACGCAGCCAAAAAUAAAUAAAUAAAUAAAUA